CGACGGCGCCGCGACCCAGCACUGAUCCGCAGCGGCGUGGCGACCUAACCCUCGUCGGCGGCGGAGGCGCGGAGACCUAGCCCUCGUCGUCGGCGGCGCGGCCACCUAGCCAUCGUCAUGGGCAGCACAGGGACUUGGCCCUCAGCGGCAGCGGUGAUGCCCCCUGUUUUGGAGCUAGACGGCGACCUGCAACAGAGCGAUCGAGCUCUCGUCGGAGGCAGCGCGACGACUUCCCCUCCCUGGCGGAUAUGGAGCUCAUCAAACUCUCAUUCAGUUUCAGUCGUGGGUAUGCAAUGGCUGGACGGAUGCAACCUCCAGGGAGAUGAAACCGAGAGGAUUGCCACUGGAUUGCCGUCAGAUUCUUUUAUGCAGGAGCAUAUGUACAAGUUUCGUAAUGGAUAGUCCUGAGAGGAUGGAAUGUACAUUGCAGCCUGUAGUAGAAUUAGUGAAUGUGGGAAUAAGGUUGGCUGUAGUAGGAUGGAAUGUACAGUGCAGCAUGUAGUAGGACUAGGACCUGUCAGUGUAAAGUUGUGUGGCACAAUUUUUGUACCAUUCAAUUGUGUAAGCUUCAAAUUCAAAAUUAUAUGAGUACAAAUUGUUCAGUA